UGCUGAGCAUAAUUGAUGACGUUGUGGGUGUAGAGGCUGGUUUAGCAUCAGUCAUACUAGCACGUCUAAGAUGAUCAAAUAUAUACUUUCUUUGAGAGAGAAGCAAUGCCUUGGAAGUGUGAUGCACCUGGGCCAAGAAAGAAAUUAAGAGGCACCAAAUCUUUGACAGUAAAUGUCAAACUCAUUUUCUCUUUUCUUUCAUUCCUCCUCUUCCUCUUUUCUUUCUCUUCUUCGGUAACCUUAACGGGGUCUCAACUACUCAUCAUCUUCUUUAACAACGUUAUCAGAUGGGGGGACUGAAAUUUCGUUACAUCUAAAGUAUUAGCUAAUGAGGUUGAACGGAGAUUAGUUAGCGUUUGGGGGUUUAAGGACUUCGGUGGAGGAUUCCAAUACUGUGGAGAAGUCCUCUCGGCGGGUGAUUGAGAAGCAAACGAAAAACCCUUUCAAAUUCUUCUCUCCCGCGCAAACGAGAAGCAAACGAAACCCUUUCAAACUUCUUUCGUCUUCCCUCAAACCGCACAAGCAAAAACCCUUUCAAAUUCUUCUCUUUAUUGAUUUUAGGUUUCUAACCCUCUUCCCAUCCCUUAUUCACAAUUUCCUAAUUUCUUCGGCAGCUGAGAAGCAUUGAACUGUAUUAAGAGACCAUCAAACCUUCGACAGCUGAGAAGCACCGAACUGUGUUAAGAGCAAACCAUCAAACCUUCUCUUUGCCGAUUCUAGGUUUCCAUCCCUCUCUCUCUCAUCUCUUGUCACUCCUUCGGCAGCUGGGAGCCGAACUGAAUUCAUCUCCGGCAAGAAAUUAUUGGCAUCUGGAAGCCUUGGCUUUAAACACAAAUUUUCUAGUGUCAGGUUAAAAUUCGAAAAGAUAGUGAGGUUCGCUUAGAGAUAAUUGGGACAAGAGUAGACGCCAUAGACAUCUAAUCAAAAGGAAGAAUGAAUAUAAUGAGGGCUGAAUGUUGUAUUUUUUUUGUUCUUAAAAUGAUGAUGGAAGUCAAUUUGAAUUUUAUG